UUUUUUCUCUGCACUUCCUCCUCCUCCGAGCAUCUUCGACCCACAGGGCUAGCCGGCUGCUAAGAGCGCAGACCUGGCGGCCCGGUGAUUCCUGUCUGCCCCGCCCGCAGCGCCUCGCCUUCGACUCAGCACCGAGGGGCCCCCCCACAAGGCAAUCCGGUGGGUAGGGGCGCGGCGUGGGGUAACUCAGGGCACCCCAGGCAGCUGGGUGGACAGCCGGCCGGGGGAGAGCUGGGGGCGGGAGGAUGGAACCUCAGGAAGAAGCGGGGAGCGCCCAGCCCGACCUGGGCCCGCUUCCCAUUCCCGUCUACCCCAGCGGAGCGCCAUCACGCCAGCCUAGGCAAAUUCAGGAGCCGCGCGGAACCGGGGAAGGGGCGGGAGCUGUCUGCCCGGGCCAGGAAGGCCGUGCCGGCGGCCUCCGGAGCUUUCGGGAAUCCAGUGUGUUCCCGGAUGGGGAGAAAGGGGCGAUGGAUACUCCCAGGUGAGAGAGGACACAGCGGGACUCUGCUUUCCACACAACCAACAUCCGCCCACUUGAGAGUGGGGCCCCAGGUUUAGUCUUCCUGUACCCAGAUCGGGUUGGAAACUCGAUUGCAGAAACACUUGGACUUAUUUUUAAACCUACGUUUAUUUAAAAAAUAAACAGCCCCGUCGUUACCUCCUCCGAGGCGACGGAGAUUCCUCCCCCACUCCCGUCUCCUCCCCAGGGUGCCUAGGCCGGGAGAGAGGGUGAAAGGCGCGCCGCACUCCGAUCUUGCUGGGACCUCCAGACCCCACUUAUCCGUACCCCAGGAUCCUCUUAACUGGGGAGUUCCACGUGUUCCCAGGUGCCUGGGCCGAGGGCGGAAGAGAGAAGAGGAAGGAAGGGCAGAAACCUGGAGAGAGCGAGUUUUGUUUUGUUUUAAUUUCAAGAUAAGACAUUUUUCUCUCUUUAUAAAUACCGGUGCAACUGCCCGCACCUACUCCCAUAACCCUCCGAGCCAGGACAGCUUAGUUCAGCCUACAAAAGAGCCUCUAGGGAACCGAGAAAGGAGCUAAAAAUACCGCAGACUCGAGGCCCAAGGUGCUGCGGUCGGAGGCAGGGCCAGUGGCUUCUCCCGGCCCGGCCUGUCCUGGAGGGGCCGCCUUCUCCACCUCGAGGGCCCGGCUCGGGCUUAGCUGGACGAAUUCCGUCUCUUUGAGCGCCGACCCGGGCCUUUUGUAGCAAAGCCUUCUUGUCCAACCUCUGGUAAAUUCAGCUGCCGUGCUUUUGACUCUUUCUGCCCUUCUGCAGACUCAUUCUUAGAAAGAAAAGAGGUAAGACCACCAGAUCCUAUUUUAUGUCAAUAGUAAUCCGGCCUGGCUGUUCCCCACUCCCCACUCUGUAUAAUGAUCUCUAUGGUGUAUGUAGUUGCUUGCAAUCCGGGGGCUCUAGAUGAUUUGGGAGAAACCUGUUAACCUCUAUUAUAGCCCUCUCCUGGAAAAAAAAAAAAUCUGGCUAUUAUUCCCCCCACGAGUCCCCUGGUUAUCAAGUAAAAUCACAAAACUCUGUAAAACAGCAAACACACUGAAUUUCAAAACUCCCGCUCAGCCCCCUCUAGAAGGCAGCUUUUAUUUUCACGGCCCACGCCGGAUGAAAGUGGCUUAUUUUGAUUUUUUUUUUUUUCUUGUACCCACAUGCCUUGUAAAAGGUUCCCGUGCACGGGCCAGGCCCCCUCUGAUGACCGCAGGGCCUUGCUUCCAGACUACAGCCCCCGCCACUCGGUUUUUAAGUCCUCGCCUGGAGUCGAGGUGUAAUUGCGACCCCGCCCGAGCCGCGAGCCUCCCGGGGGGACAUUUGGCCGGGCCUGCGCUGGGGCCAGGACCUCCCAAGUGGCGGACCUGGGAGUCCGGAGCGGCGCGGCCCUCUCCCUCCCCGCCUCUCCCCUCCCUCCCUCCCCUGCGGACUCCGUUCCUUCUCUCCGGACCUUCAGCUUGCCCGCGCCAAGGGCGCACAGCACUUCUCCUCCUGUCCAUGUUUCGUUUUUUUCUUGUCUCUUUUCUCUCCAGCAUCUUUUACCGCUCUCUUCAUCUCCUUAGAAAAGCAGAGUGGGGCUUUGUCCGAAUUUUGGAGAAACCAACUGAGCCUCUGGCCCCGCGGGCGCCGAGGCGGAGUCGCAACCGGGCGCGCUUCUGCGUAACGUCAGCGCGCGGUGUAAUUUACCUUCCCCGGGAGUCUGUCAAUAUGACUAAUUUCCACUGGGGUCAAAAAGCCUUUCUCCGGCAGUCCAUCUUGGAACGCUCUCUUACGCAGCAGACCGGGUUAGUUGUUUUGUUUCCAGCCCUAGAAAUAAAUACUCUUGGGGGCGUCCCUGCCUGGGCAGCCGAGAGGAGCAGAAGAAUAUAUACACGGUGUCAAUUAAAGGCAGUUUUCCUUGAACUACGAACUGUGAUUGUGCUUAAAUGACAGCGACCUGCUAGCCUUGUAGUUCACAUUACCUAACUCGUCCUUGAUACCAAUGCUUUUUUUAGAAACAGGAAAUCAAAAAAGAGAAAUAAUUAGUGCUCCAGUUUUCCUCUGUUGCGUGUCGAUCCCUAUUGAAACGUUUUCUCCGCGUUCUGGGGUGUGAUUUAAACAUUGAGUAUGCGUGUGGGGUUUGCUAAUCUGGCCUAGACGGACAAUAAAUCAUCCAGGUGGUAUUUUACAAAAAUUUCAAAACUCCUACUGACUUCUAAGUAUGAAAUCAGUGCUGCGGAUUCAAACGUUUUCCUGGAAAACGCGGCGAAUUGACGCUGGUUGUGUGAUUCGGACUCACUUUAAGAAAUGGAGUGCCAGAAGCCAAAGCGGCUGGAGGGGCCAGGCGAUUCCUGUUGGCAGGGUCCUCUCAGUCUGGAGCAGUCCUUGGGAGAUGGGGGAGGUAAACCUCUCCAAUCCGGGUCCAAAAAAAAGGGAAAGUCACCAGAAAACCCAUUUCCCUCCCUCCUAGGCUCUGGCACUGAGGCCCCAACAAAUAAACUUCACCGAGUUAAAUUUUUAGCAAACUUUCUAGAAAAAGCACGUGGUCUGUAGGCGAGUAAAGUCUUGGACUGAGGGCAUUUAGGAGCUUCGAUAGAACCCACCGAAACAUAAGAACUAAGAAAUAGAGGCAGAAGAGAGGAAGCCUCACAGAGGCUCCUCCACCCUCCACGCUGGGUGCCUGACCUCUGCCUGCGGGAGUGGGCGGCACCCGGAUCCCAUCUUCCACUCAGACCCGCUUACCUACCCGCGCCCAAAGCGGAGUGCGCGCACUAUCGCGCGUAUGCAGACACGGACUCCCUCUUUGCCUCUCUCUCUCAUCUAUUCGUGCUUUCGUGAUCUAAUGAAAGUAUAUCCUUUAGGGAAAAGACUUUAUAAAAAGUGAAAUAUGAAGAACCCCUUUGGAUAUUUCCACUCCAGGCCAGACUGAUCUUGAAUUUUUUUAAUUUUUUUUUUUUUUUAGUACAAACACCUUGAUUCCUUCUGUUGCUUCCAUAAUGACUGUUAUUUUUACUAAAUGAUGAGAAUUGGUUCUAACUGACCUCUGCUCAUUCCCUGUGGAAAGAGGGAAAGUCUCCAGCGUGAACAUGUAUCUUUGAGGGAAGGCAUGGGAGGGCAGGGGAGAAUUGUACUUUCUAUCCCUUGUCAUAUUUGGAAAACACUGCCACCAUAUGUUCCAGCUGCUGCAAACAUCUGGGGAAACUAAGGGCUCUUUCAACUUCCUCCCCCUUCCAUCCUGCCCUACUGGUUCCCCCAAAUGGCACUUUUUGGGGUCUCACAAACAUCGCCCUUUUCUUUCCUCUGGUCCCUCUUCUGAAGCCUCCCAUUUUCAGAUAUAACUGAGUACCUCCUUAGAAAUCCCUUGGUUGAUCAUACCACCUGUUUUCAUGGGAGAAGAGGGUCUGAUUUUGUGUUUGGGGGAGGAUUGUAUAGUAACAGGAGUGGGUAGAGCAGAGAUGAUUCUCCUUGUGGUUUUCCAUAUACCAUACCUUUAAAUAUAAGCUUUUAGGAGUCUCUUUCAUUUUGCAAUUGACCUUUGCCUUAGGAGUGGUUUAAGUUGUUUAUUAGCUACGGGAAAAACUGCUGGCGGUAUAAACUGUAGUGUGAGCUGAUGAGAUGCACCUCCAUUGGGGUAGAGUUGUUUAUUUGCAUAUUUUUUUUAAGAGCGGUGGAGUUCUAAUUUAAAGGCUCAUAGGCAUCCAGGGGCCAUUUAACGACCUGGGGGUGGAGUGAGUAGAUUAUUCAACUCACUGCUUAGCUGAUCAGUUGGUUUCUGAAUUAACAUCACUAAGGGAAUUUUGACCCUACUUUUUUUGAUUCAGGCUUCCUGAGUAGAAUUUGCCUAAUAAGGACUUUUGUAGCUGGUUAAAGGGAAAGGGGCAAGUAUGCCAGGACAAAGUGUUCAGCCCAUCCUGAGCGGAGAAGAGGGGAGGGCGCUGACCAGCAGCCAUUCCUAGGGAAGGGUCUAGUCCUCCGUGUACAAGAAACGGUCCAUUUUCAAGCAUCUAUGAGGAGAUGUCAAUCCUUUUUCAGUUGUGUCCUAGCUUAGCCUUUCCAUUUAGGCCUGAGGGUUUGGCCAGUCCUAUAAAUCCAUGUUUCUAGUAACCUGGCUUACCUGGAGGAGCAAAUGGCUUUCAAUUGGCAAAUAUUCCCAUGUGGGAACAAGAGUAGUGUUCACUUCGCCUCACCUAAAAUUUCACACUUCUGCAUAAAAAUGUUAUUUUCUAGUCAGAUUUCCAACUUAUGACUCAUUGAACAAAACAAAAAGCUUAUUAUAUUUUUUUAAUCCCAUAUUCUCAGUAGAUGGCCUCUAGAUCCCCUCCACAAGUUGUGACAUUAUGUUUAAAUAUAUUCAGCAUCUAGUAUCUAUCAUAUAUAACCUGAUCAGAUUCAUUUCUAAUGAUUAGGCAAUACAUUCUCAAGGUUCAAAAAUAUACAAAAUGCAUGUGUGAAUAGCCUUUCUUCCAGUUGUUAUUCAUUUCUUGCAUAUUCCUCCAGAGCUUCCUAAUGCAUAGAAAAGCAAAUAGGAGGAGACUCUUUUGGGAUCCAGAAGGAUGCAAGUUACUCCAUUUGUAUCUGUUCUGCUGAUCUGAAGGCCUUGGGGGAUGGGAGGAAGAUCUCUAGAAGCUUUGAAGAAUUUAAAGAGGCUCAUGCCAAAUAUAAUCUGGUCAGGGUGUGAGAUGCCUCCUGAUGGUAAUUUUGAAAUAUCUGGGGAGGAAAAGACAGGGCACAUGCCGAACAAAUGAGCCCUAAGGCGCCAAACUGAAUUGGCUUUUCUCUGUGGCUGAAUUCAAAGUGU
rnacentral:lncRNA from 1 species